AGCUCGUAGUUGGAUUUCUGUUGAGAACGACCGGUCCACACAACGUGUGCCCAUCUGGUUCGGUCUCGGCAUCCUUCAGUUAAAUGUUACUGCGCUUGAUUGCGUGGUGCAGUUGCUGAACUUUUACUUUGAGGAAAUUAGAGUGUUCACGGCAGGCUAUCGCCAGAAUACAUUAGCAUGGAAUAAUACUAUAGGAUCUUGAUCCUAUUUUGUUGGUUUCUAGGAGCAAGAUAAUGAUUAAUAGGGACAAUUGGGGGCAUUCGUAUCACGUAGUCAGAGGUGGAAUUCUUGGAUUUACGUGCGACGAACUACUGCGAAAGCAUUUGCCAAGGAUGUUUUCAUUGAUCAAGAACGAAAGUUAGGGGAUCGAAGACGCUUAGAUACCGUCGUAUUUUUAACCAUAAACUAUGCCAACUAGAGAUGGGACAUCGUUCAUAUACGACUUGUUCCGCACCUUAUGAGAUAUCAAAGUCUUUGGGUUCCGGGGGGAGUAUGGUCGCAAGUCUGAAACUUAAAGGAAUUGACGGAAGGGCACCACCAGGAGUGGAGCCUGCGGCUUAAUUUGACUCAACACGGGGAAACUCACCAGGUCCAGACAUUAUAAGGAUUGACAGAUUGAUAGCUCUUUCUUGAUUUUAUGGGUGGUGGUGCAUGGCCGUUCUUAGUUCGUGGAGUGAUUUGUCUGCUUAAUUGCGUUAACGAACGAGACCUUAACCUGCUAAAUAGGAGCGCAUAUCUCCGGAUAAGCGCCUUUCUUCUUAGAGGGACUUUAUGCGUUUCAGCAUGAGGAGGUUUGAGGCUAAAACAGGUCUGUGAUGCCCUUAGAUGUUCUGGGCUGCACGCGCGCUACACUGAUGCGUUCAACGAGUGUACAACCUUGCCCGAUAGGGUUGGGUAACCUUUUGAACACGCAUCGUGAUGGGGAUAGAGUAUUGUAAUUAUUACUCUUC
rnacentral:rRNA from 1 species